rnacentral:misc_RNA from 1 species
GGGAGAUAAGGAGUCUGAAGGAUUUUGGCUUAAGCAGGGUUUUUCAGUUAUUGGUCAAGUUGACACGAAAGGCAGAGCUCGCAAGCUCCCUAUCAAGGCUGAUAUUCGGAAAGCAUUGUGCUUUCCUGGUGGUUCAAAUCUCAUGAUUUCUCAUUUCAAUAAGGAUAACUUACACAGUUCUGCAGUGUAUCUAAAUCUGAAAUUCCCCUUAAAGCCUUUAAGAGAGGAUUGCCAAUCUCCAAUUCUCCAAGAACAAAGGGAUACUCUGUCUGAGGGAAAUAACCAUUCUCCAGGAAGAAGUCAGGCCACUAAAACCAUGGGUUCUAACUACUACGAUUGCCAAGAUUUUCAACCUGGAGAUGGUGCUGUCGGAAGCAAACAUGGACAUAUAGGAUUUAAUGAAAUGGAAAGCCAAACUCUUCUGAAGAAAUGUUCCUGUUCAGCGUCAGAAUCAAACAAAAGGACUUGGGAAACCUCACACACUUGUGUUAAAUCCAAAAAAAUAAAGGGAGGUCAUCAAACUGACUGUGACUUGCAUUCUAAGGACAUUAGCUUAGAAAGUGUUUCGGGGAACAGUUUUUCUGCUAUCUCUAAGAGCAAAUGUCAGGUAGGUAUUACUCCCAAGGAUCAUUUGACAAGCCACUUUCUGGAAAAGAAUGCUGUAGAAGCUACAGCAGAUAAUUUGACAUAUGAAGGGAAUAGUAGUCGAGUCAUUUCUUCAAGAGGGACAAACUUCAGAAUUAUGCUGAUGAACAUUGCUGAUGAUAGUAAAAAGGCAAAUUUGACCAAGAUAAUAGGAGACCUUGGUGGAGAUGUUACUGCUGAUGGAAGUUCAAGCACACACGUAGUCACUGGCAAAGUGAGGAAAACUUUGAAUUUCUGCUCAGCUCUCUGCUCAGGAGCUUGGAUAUUGUCACCAAAUUGGUUGAAAGAAAGUUUCCGAAAUGGCAAAUUUUUAGAUGAAAUGCCUUUUAUUUUGAGGGAUGAAGACUAUGAACUUAAGUACAGAAGUGCGCUAAAAAGGGCAGUUCUUAGAGCAAAAGCAUACCCCCAAGCUCUUCUCAAGGGUUAUGACAUAUGUCUUGCAACUCAUGUUCAUCCUCCAGUUGGUACCUUAUCAGCCAUUGUAAAAUCUGCAGGAGGCAAUGUUAUACGUGGACUCAAUCAAGUGAAAGAUGAAUGUAAAACUAUAUUUGUUGCUUGUGAAGAAGACAUG